rnacentral:antisense_RNA from 1 species
UCUGCACUCCGCUAAAUGUCUAAACCAUGAUGAAAUAACAUAAGGUGGUCCCGUCGGCAAGAGACAUCCACUUAACGUAUGCUUGCAAUAAGUGCGAGUGAAAGGAAUAGUAUUCUGAGUGUCGUAUUGAGUCUGAGUGAGACAGCGAUAUGAUUGUUGAUUAACCCUUAGCAUGUCCGUGGGGUUUGAAUUAACUCAUAAUAUUAAUUAGACGAAAUUAUUUUUAAAGUUUUAUUUUUAAUAAUUUGGAGUUUCCAAUUAACUUUUGUUUUUGAUUUUUAAUUUCAAUUUUUUUGUUGAAGUACUUAA